rnacentral:rRNA from 1 species
CGCGGCCUAUCAGCUUGUUGGUGAGGUAACGGCUCACCAAGGCGACGACGGGUAGCCGGCCUGAGAGGGCGACCGGCCACACUGGGACUGAGACACGGCCCAGACUCCUACGGGAGGCAGCAGUGGGGAAUAUUGCACAAUGGGCGAAAGCCUGAUGCAGCGACGCCGCGUGAGGGAUGACGGCCUUCGGGUUGUAAACCUCUUUCAGCAGGGAAGAAGCGAAAGUGACGGUACCUGCAGAAGAAGCGCCGGCUAACUACGUGCCAGCAGCCGCGGUAAUACGUAGGGCGCAAGCGUUGUCCGGAAUUAUUGGGCGUAAAGAGCUCGUAGGCGGCUUGUCACGUCGGGUGUGAAAGCCCGGGGCUUAACCCCGGGUCUGCAUCCGAUACGGGCAGGCUAGAGUGUGGUAGGGGAGAUCGGAAUUCCUGGUGUAGCGGUGAAAUGCGCAGAUAUCAGGAGGAACACCGGUGGCGAAGGCGGAUCUCUGGGCCAUUACUGACGCUGAGGAGCGAAAGCGUGGGGAGCGAACAGGAUUAGAUACCCUGGUAGUCCACGCCGUAAACGUUGGGAACUAGGUGUUGGCGACAUUCCACGUCGUCGGUGCCGCAGCUAACGCAUUGAGUUCCCCGCCUGGGGAGUACGG